rnacentral:rRNA from 1 species
AUUUCUUUCUGUAGCAAUACAGAGAAAAAUCCAGCGGCGAACGGGUGCGUAACACGUGGGCAAUCUGUCUUAAAGUGGGGGAUAGCUCGGCGAAAGCCGAAUUAAUACCGCAUGUGAUCAGGGGCGACAUCGCUCCGAAAUCAAAGGUGGCGCAAGCUACCGCUUUUUGAGGGGCCCGCGGCCUAUCAGCUUGUUGGUGAGGUAACGGCUCACCAAGGCUAUGACGGGUAGCUGGUCUGAGAGGACGACCAGUCACACUGGGACUGAGACACGGCCCAGACACCUACGGGUGGCAGCAGUCGAGAAUUUCUGACAAUGGGGGAAACCCUGAUCGAGCGACGCCGCGUGGAGGAUGAAGGUCUUCGGGUUGUAAACUCCUGUCAUUUGGGAACAAGGCGCACGUAUUAACUGUGCGUGCGUUGAUAGUACCAGAAGAGGAAGAGACGGCUAACUCUGUGCCAGCAGCCGCGGUAAUACAGAGGUCUCAAGCGUUGUUCGGAUUCAUUGGGCGUAAAGGGUGUGUAGGUGGCGCGCUAAGUCGGGUGUGAAAUUUCGGAGCUUAACUCCGAAACUGCAUUCGAUACUGGCGUGCUUGAGGACUGGAGAGGAGACUGGAAUUUACGGUGUAGCAGUGAAAUGCGUAGAUAUCGUAAGGAAGACCAGUGGCGAAGGCGGGUCUCUGGACAGUUCCUGACACUGAGACACGAAGGCCAGGGGAGCAAACGGGAUUAGAUACCCCGGUAGUCCUGGCAGUAAACGGUGCACGUUUGGUGUGGGGAGGAUUCGACCCCUUCUGCGCCGGAGCUAACGCGUUAAACGUG